rnacentral:tRNA from 1 species
GUUUUAAUAAUUUAAUAAAAAUAUUGGUUUUGUAAGCCAAACUUAGUCUUACUUUAAAACA